CUCCUUUGGUUCUUAUUAAUUUGCAGGAAGAGGAACUCAUCGACCGGUUCUUCGUCUUGUCUCUCUAGGGUUUCGCAUGAUCUCCUCCCCUCCCCGUCCGAGAUUUCGCUGCGAUACGUCUCUCGGUGGAUCUCUCUCUCUCUCUCUCUCUCUCUCUCUCUCUCUCUCUCUCUCUAUCUAGGGUUUCGGAUGAUCUCUUUCGCCCCUCACUAUGUCCAAGAUUUCGCUGCUCUCUGCCUCCUAGGGUUUCGGUGGACCUCCCUCUCUCCCGCUUCUAUGUCCAAGAUUUCGCUGCGACCUAGUGUGAGUUGAUCUGACAUUGGAGGAGGAUUAGGGGGGGGAAUCGGUUCGUGAAGUUGGCGUGCAGAUCGAGGGCGACUCCUCUCCCGGAGAUUUCGAUGUUAUAUGGCGUAAGUUAAUCGGACGUUGGACGAGGAUCAAGAGGCGAAUGGCUUAGAAGAGUCGGCAUGACGAUCUAACGCCCCUCCCUUCCUGGGGCUAUUCUUUCUUCUUGGUUUCUUUUCUUCUUCUUGCCUCUGUCUCGCAAUCCGCUGUGUGAUUCUCAUCGAAGCCCAUCGCACAAGCCUUAUUCCGUGUGAACCAGCAGUGUUAGUCCGGUUGAUCUCAUUUCCUGCGCGAGAGAGGUAUUCUUUCUUGAUUCGUUUUAUCUGCUUUCCUUGGGGUAAAAGAAUCUUCUCAAUUAGGGAUCACAGGGUUUAGUUCUUCAGUUCGAUUAAAAGAAUAAAGAUUCUGUAUAAGGAUUUCUUAUGUUGCUGCCUACGAGAUUUCUCUUGUCAGAGUUGUCCUUUCUGUUCCAUGUUCAUCUUUCUCUUUCUUUUUGCUAAGUUUUCCAAGAUUGGGUAUCUGCUUUUGUCUUUUUUAGAAAGAUCUUCUCCUUUUUCCGGUCUUAAAAGCAUCUGCAGAUUUUAUGCUGGGGAUCUAAGCUCACUUGUGUUUGACGAAAAGCUUUUAUUCUUUAUAAUCUUUAUCCACGAUAGCUAAAUGUGCUGUUUGCUUACGAGUGUUAUGACUUGAUAUUUGAGCUAUUACAUGAUUGGAUAUGGAAUGCAUGUUUCCUUCGUUUCUCUUAUCAAUAUGCCGACAGAAAAUAUAGAUUUACCUGUCAUUGACGUCACUGUGUGGUGAGUAGUUCUUAAAGUCUUUGUAUGAGAUUCUGUUACCGAGUUGAGACAAUAGGUUUGCAGAUUCAGUGAAGUGGUGUCAUGAAAAACUGUAUUAGAGGGAGUUUUUUUCCGGUCUUGAAAGCGUUACAUAAUUGUAGAACAUUAAAGCAUCUACAGAUUU